UAAAAAGCUCGUAGUCGUAUUUGUGUUUUGCGCCGUUGGUUCAUCGUUCGCGGUGUUAACUGACGUGUUGCAAAACGUCCUGCCGGUGAAUUUUAGUUUAUAUUCUAUAUAAACGAAUUCAAUUAAAUCCUAUUGCGGUGCUCUUAAUUGAGUGCCGAGAUAGGCCGGCACGUUUACUUUGAACAAAUUAGAGUGCUUAAAGCAGGCAAAAUAAUGCCUGAAUACUGUGUGCAUGGAAUAAUAAAAUAGGACCUCGGUUCUAUUUUGUUGGUUUUCGGAACUCCGAGGUAAUGAUUAAUAGAAACGGAUGGGGGCAUUCGUAUUGCGACGUUAGAGGUGAAAUUCUUGGAUCGUCGCAAGACGAACAGAAGCGAAAGCAUUUGCCAAAAACGCUUUCAUUGAUCAAGAACGAAAGUUAGAGGUUCGAAGGCGAUCAGAUACCGCCCUAGUUCUAACCAUAAACGAUGCCAGCUAGCGAUCCGCCGACGUUCUUUUGAUGACUCGGCGGGCAGCUUUCGGGAAACCAAAGCUUUUGGGUUCCGGGGGAAGUAUGGUUGCAAAGCUGAAACUUAAAGGAAUUGACGGAAGGGCACCACCAGGAGUGGAGCCUGCGGCUUAAUUUGACUCAACACGGGAAACCUCACCAGGCCCGGACACCGGAAGGAUUGACAGAUUGAGAGCUCUUUCUUGAUUCGGUGGGUGGUGGUGCAUGGCCGUUCUUAGUUGGUGGAGCGAUUUGUCUGGUUAAUUCCGAUAACGAACGAGACUCUAGCCUGCUAACUAGGCGCAAUAGACAUCUUAAAGGCCCAUUGAUAUAGAGUUUACGCUUUAUAUUUAAUGCGGUUUUUACUGUCUGCGUUUAAUAAAUUCUUCUUAGAGGGACAGGCGGUUUCUAGCCGCACGAGAUUGAGCAAUAACAGGUCUGUGAUGCCCUUAGAUGUUCUGGGCCGCACGCGCGCUACACUGAAAGAAUCAGCGUGUUUUCCCUGACCGAAUGGUCCGGGUAACCCGUUGAACCUCUUUCGUGCUAGGGAUUGGGGCUUGCAAUUGUUCCCCAUAAACGAGGAAUUCCCAGUAAGCGCGAGUCAUAAGCUCGCGUUGAUUACGUCCCUGCCCUUUGUACACACCGCCCGUCGCUACUACCGAUUGAAUGAUUUAGUGAGGUCUUCGGACU
rnacentral:rRNA from 1 species